UACGUAGGGGGCAAGCGUUGUCCGGAUUUAUUGGGCGUAAAGGGCGCGUAGGCGGCCUUCUAAGUCGAACGUGAAAUCCCCGGGCUCAACCCGGGAACUGCGUCCGAUACCGGAAGGCUUGAAUCCGGGAGAGGGAUGUGGAAUUCCAGGUGUAGCGGUGAAAUGCGUAGAUAUCUGGAGGAACACCCGUGGCGAAGGCGGCUCUCUGGGACGGUACUGACGCUGAGACGCGAAAGCGUGGGGAGCGAACAGG
rnacentral:rRNA from 1 species